rnacentral:lncRNA from 1 species
GUGUCAUGUAGGAGUACACCCAACAUUUCUCUGCGAUCUUACACUCUGUUCCACUUCCAACAGGCCUAAAUUUAACCAGUACCUGGCGGAGAAGAACCAAGCACGCUUCUGUCAAGAAUACCCCAGAUCUCCUAGGAAAUCAUCUCCCAACAGCCUUUUCUGACUUGUAUCUCCUCCAUUUGUUCUCAAAUUCUGCUACCCAGAUGGAAAAGAGGGAAAUCGAGAAGAAGCCUGGACAACCUUUAUUUCUGACCAUUUCUGUGAUAUGAGGCUCAACAGUAUUUGGCAACAAACCUAUCCAAAAGAGAAAUGUGAAAGGUGAAAACAAGGAAGCCCAUGACAGAAAAGCCUAAAAAAAUAAGAAAAACAAAACAAACCAAUAUAAGUGGACUGCAAGGAAGAAAAACUGUCCAUCAUCCAGGGGAGGGUCAAUUAAUCAGUGUAAGAACACAUGCAAAGUGUGAAACAAUGAUGGUAGCAGCUCAAGAUCAAAAUGCAUUGUCUCCAGAAUUUUAAAAAGGACAACCUAGAGACAUAUACCCAGACAAAGUAUUCAUGAGCUAAAUAACUAGCAUAGACAGACAG